UACGUAGGUGACCAGCGUUGUCCGGAUUUACUGGGCGUAAAGAGCGCGCAGGCGGUCGUUCAAGUCGAGUGUGAAAGACCCCGGCUCAACUGGGGAGGGUCGUGCGAUACGGGCGAACUGGAGGCCAGUAGGGGGAUGCGGAAUUCCGGGUGUAGUGGUGGAAUGCGUAGAGAUCCGGAGGAACACCAGCGGCGAAGGCGGCAUCCUGGACUGGUCCUGACACUCAGGAGCGAAAGCGUGGGGAGCGAUCCGG
rnacentral:rRNA from 1 species